GCUAGAACUGGACACCUCGGGGGUUUCCUGCUUUAUGGCGAAGGGUGAAUGAGGAUCUGCCGGAGGGAGGGAGACAACAAGGAGAGAGGGGUGUGAGAUGAUGGGGCCCCGGGCCCUAGCGCCCUCCUCCGCAGGGCCAGCCACGCCCUGCCUUCCAGCCCCUCUGUGCAGCUGGGGCCACGCGGCCCAGGACAUUUCAGGCAUCGUACCUGCCACCACUGGGUAGGUCUGGAAAGAUGAUUGUGCCAUCCCCCGAUCCUGAGGUCGGGUGUGCGGACCUGGGCUUCUCUCUCUCGGCUCCCCAGGCCAGAGGGCCUUCCUGGGCCCAGGCGAGAGCACACAGUGUCCUUCGACGGCACAGUCCGAGUCACCAAGGCCAGGAAAGGCAGGGGCUCAGACCCAAGGAGCCCUCAGCACAGGCUGGAUGCUCCCUGCCCCUCACCACCCAGCCAGGUGAAUGAAUGAGCAAGUAGAAGACUGACUGCGGGAGGAAUGAAUCAUGGAUGGACACUGCUGAGCCUCUCUGUUUCUCCAGCCUUCGAGUAAGAACUGACAUAGAAGCAUCGUAUCUAAAAACAGGGUGCCAGUGGGCCAUUCUGAAUGAAACCAGGGCCGGCAGACCUGAGCUCCACAACCGUUCGCUCCCCCAGGCUCUGUCUACCUUCCCUGGCCCUGGGUUAUCGAAACACAAAUGCAAAGACUGGUCUCCCUGGUCCCCGAGGUCCCUGUGGCUCUAAGACUCUCUAAGACCACGGUUCCCAUGCGCGUGGGCCAGCUUGGUGCUGGUCUCGGUCUCCCUGUCAUCAGGCAGGGCCCGCUGGGGGCUCAGCCAUGGAGCCAGAAGAUGGCCCUGGGACCCAGCGGGUGCUCAGCAUCUCAGCAGCAGGGUUUCUGCAGGACGGCAGGGGCUUGCACACAGAGUGGGCUCCCUGUGAGCGAGCCCACAGCUGCGGCCCCACUUCCCUCCGGGAGCCAUGUGCUGCCUCUCAGAUGAGCACCCGGGUCCUCUCCCCAGGUCUGCUGACGGCCAGCUUUCUCUGCACCCCCUCGUGGUGGCCGCGGCCCAGGCUGAUAAAAUCGCUGACGCAGAUUGCCUGCCCAGCUGCGGAGCUGGCGUGGGCCCAGCAGCCCAGACGGUGCCUGGCGACAGUUCAGCUGCUUACUGGCAUCGUCCACUUUGUCCUGCUCAGACUUUCAAGGCGUAAGGCUUGCCUCACUCCUGGAUCAAACGACAGCGUGAGCAAAGUGGGGUGAGCAGAGCCACCCUAAGGGAAUUCCUCAGCUGGGAUGGGGGGGUGGAAGCCACGGCUACUGGGGACAGAUGCGUGUGAACGGAGGGAACAACGGUCCUGGAAGUUCUGUCAGAGUUGUGGAGUCUCUGCUGGGCUCGGUGAGGGGAGACCAGUGACAUCUCUGUUAGCUUUUCCCAGAAGCUGACCCACUGUAAACCAUUUCACCCAUCCUGAGCACUAGAAAUAAAAACUCCCCUGUAACUUGCAA